CGAGGUUUAUUGAGGUUAAGCGAGGUUAAUUGAGGUUAGGAAAGACUAUAUUUGGUUUAAUUGAGGUUAAGCGAGGUUAAGUGAGGUUAAGCGAGGUUAAUUGAGGUUAAGCGAGGUUAAUUGAGGUUAAGCGAGGUUAAUUAAGAUUAGGAAAGACUAUAUUUGGUUUAAUUGAGGUUAAGCGAGGUUAAGUGAGGUUAAGCGAGGUUAAUUGAGGUUAAGCGAGGUUAAUUGAGGUUAAGCGAGGUUAAUUAAGGUUAGGAAAGACUAUAUUUGGUUUAAUUGAGGUUAAGCGAGGUUAAUUGAGGUUAAGCGAGGUUAAUUGAGGUUAAGCAUGGUUAAUUGAGGUUAAGCGAGGUUAAUUGAGGUUAAGCAUGGUUAAUUGAGGUUAAGCGAGGUUAAUUGAGGUUAAGCAAGGUUAAUUGAGGUUAAGCAUGGUUAAUUGAGGUUAAGCGAGGUUAAUUGAGGUUAAGCGAGGUUAAGUGAGGUUAGAAAAGACUAAGUUUGGUUAAACCAGGUUAUUCGAGGCUGAACUGAACUGUUUUUCCUCUGU